GAGCCAUUAGCUCAGUUGGUAGAGCACCUGACUUUUAAUCAGGGGGUCGAAGGUUCGAGUCCUUCAUGGCUCACCA
rnacentral:tRNA from 1 species